rnacentral:rRNA from 1 species
ACUCAAAUGAAUUGACGGGGGCCCGCACAAGCAGUGGAGUAUGUGGUUUAAUUCGAAGCAACGCGAAGAACCUUACCAGGACUUGACAUCCCUUGAUCGCCGUAGAGAUACGGUUUCCCUUCGGGGCAAGGAGACAGGUGGUGCAUGGUUGUCGUCAGCUCGUGUCGUGAGAUGUUGGGUUAAGUCCCGCAACGAGCGCAACCCCUGUUGUUAGUUGCCAUCAUUAAGUUGGGCACUCUAGCGAGACUGCCGGUGACAAAUCGGAGGAAGGUGGGGACGACGUCAAAUCAUCAUGCCCCUUAUGUCCUGGGCUACACACGUACUACAAUGGCUAUUACAGCAGGAUGCAAUAUCGCAAGGUGGAGCUAAUCCUCAAAAAUAGUCCCAGUUCAGAUUGUAGGCUGAAACUCGCCUACAUGAAGUCGGAAUUGCUAGUAAUUGCAGGUCAGCAUACUGCAGUGAAUACGUUCCCGGGCCUUGUACACACCGCCCGU